CAGUAGCCGCGGGAAUACAGAGGGUGCGAGCGUUAAUUGGAUUUACUGGGCGUAAAGCGUGCGUAGGCGGCUAAUUGAGUCGGAUGUGAAAUCCCCGAGCUUAACUUGGGAAUUGCAUUCGAUACUGGUUAGCUAGAGUGUGGGAGAGGAUGGUAGAAUUCCAGGUGUAGCGGUGAAAUGCGUAGAGAUCUGGAGGAAUACCGAUGGCGAAGGCAGCCAUCUGGCCUAACACUGACGCUGAGGUACGAAAGCAUGGGGAGCAAACAGGAUUAGAUACCCGAGUAGUCCCUGUCUCUUAUAC
rnacentral:rRNA from 1 species